GGGGGCGUGGCUCAGUUGGUAGAUCGUUCGCUUUGCACGUGAAAGAUCCCGGGUUCAAGCCCCGCCGCCUCCA